GUCUCUUCGGGCACAUCUGAUAAAAUUAGAUCAUUACAGAAAAGAUUAGCAUGGCCCAUCCGCUAGGAUGACAUGCACAAAUCGAGAAAUUGUCUAAAUUGAA
rfam:Brassica napus, WGS project CCCW01000000 data, contig: 26160